rnacentral:lncRNA from 1 species
UUGUAUUCAAAAUAAUAUAUAUUGAUAAAUUUUAAGAACUAUUUGUUUACAAAAUUACCCUUCACUUUAUUUAAACUUUUUAAUUUUUUCUUUGCGAGCUUUAGUUAUUCAUUUUUUAAAAUAAAAUUUUUAUUUUAUUUAACUUAAAUAUUUUUGUUCAUGUAUUCCCAUGAUAAGUACCAUGUGUAUUUAAAAAUAUAACUUUUUUCUUAUUUAG